UACAGAGGUCUCAAGCGUUGUUCGGAUUCAUUGGGCGUAAAGGGUGCGUAGGUGGCGCCGUAAGUCAGGUGUGAAAUCUCGGGGCUCAACCCCGAAGCUGCACUUGAUACUGCGGUGCUCGAGUACUGGAGAGGAGAUUGGAAUUUACGGUGUAGCAGUGAAAUGCGUAGAUAUCGUAAGGAAGACCAGUGGCGAAGGCGAAUCUCUGGACAGUUACUGACACUGAGGCACGAAGGCCAGGGGAGCAAACGGG
rnacentral:rRNA from 1 species